GACGAACGCUGGCGGCGUGCUUAACACAUGCAAGUCGAACGGAAAGGCCCUGCUUUUGUGGGGUGCUCGAGUGGCGAACGGGUGAGUAACACGUGAGUAACCUGCCCUUGACUUUGGGAUAACUUCAGGAAACUGGGGCUAAUACCGGAUAGGAUCUCCUGCUGCAUGGUGGGGGUUGGAAAGUGUCGGCGGUUGGGGAUGGACUCGCGGCUUAUCAGCUUGUUGGUGGGGUAGUGGCUUACAAGGCUUUGACGGGUAGCCGGCCUGAGAGGGUGACCGGCCACAUUGGGACUGAGAUACGGCCCAGACUCCUACGGGAGGCAGCAGUGGGGAAUAUUGCACAAUGGGCGGAAGCCUGAUGCAGCAACGCCGCGUGCGGGAUGACGGCCUUCGGGUUGUAAACCGCUUUCGCCUGUGACGAAGCGUGAGUGACGGUAAUGGGUAAAGAAGCACCGGCUAACUACGUG
rnacentral:rRNA from 1 species